rnacentral:rRNA from 1 species
GACGAACGCUGGCGGCGUGCCUAAUACAUGCAAGUCGAGCGGACGUUGUUGGAGCUUGCUCCAACAAUGUUAGCGGCGGACGGGUGAGUAACACGUGGGCAACCUGCCUUAACGACUGGGAUAACUCCGGGAAACCGGGGCUAAUACCGGAUAACAUCUAGCACCUCCUGGUGCAAGAUUAAAAGAGGGCCUCUGGCUCUCACGUUAAGAUGGGCCCGCGGCGCAUUAGCUAGUUGGAGAGGUAAUGGCUCCCCAAGGCGACGAUGCGUAGCCGACCUGAGAGGGGGAUAGGCCACACUGGGACGGAGACACGGCCCAGACUCCUACGGGAGGCAGCAGUAGGGAAUCUUCCGCAAUGGACGAAAGUCUGACGGAGCAACGCCGCGUGAGUGAAGAAGGGUUUCGGCUCGUAAAGCUCUGUUAUGAGGGAAGAACACGUACCGUUCGAAUAGGGCGGUACCUUGACGGUACCUCAUCAGAAAGCCACGGCUAACUACGUGCCAGCAGCCGCAGUAAGAC